UAGCGACAGGCCUAACACAUGCAAGUCGAGGGGCAGCACAAGGAGCAAUCUGAGGUGGCGACCGGCGCACGGGCGAGUAACACGUAUGCAACCUGCCUGUAAGCGGGGAAUAACCCGUUGAAAGACGGACUAAUACCGCAUAAUACUAAAUUACUGCAUGGUAAUUUAUUUAAACAUUUAUGGCUUACAGAUGGGCAUGCGCAUGAUUAGCUAGUUGGAGAGGUAACGGCUCCCCAAGGCAACGAUCAUUAGGGGUUCUGAGAGGAAGGUCCCCCCACACUGGUACUGAGACACGGACCAGACUCCUACGGGAGGCAGCAGUGAGGAAUAUUGGUCAAUGGACGAGAGUCUGAACCAGCCAAGUCGCGUGCAGGAAGAAUUGUCCUAUGGAUUGUAAACUGCUUUUGCAGGGGAAUAAAGUGCAUCACGUGUGAUGUUUUGUAUGUACUCUGCGAAUAAGGAUCGGCUAACUCCGUGCCAGCCGCGGC
rnacentral:rRNA from 1 species